AACGAACGCUGGCGGCAGGCUUAACACAUGCAAGUCGAACGGUUGUAGCAAUACAGCAGUGGCAGACGGGUGAGUAACACGUGGGAACCUUCCUAGGGGUACGGAACAACUCAGGGAAACUUGAGCUAAUACCGUAUACGUCCGUGAGGAGAAAGAUUUAUCGCCCUUAGACGGGCCCGCGUCGGAUUAGCUAGUUGGUGGGGUAACGGCCUACCAAGGCGACGAUCCGUAGCUGAUCUUAGAGGAUGAUCAGCCACACUGGGACUGAGACACGGCCCAGACUCCUACGGGAGGCAGCAGUGGGGAAUCUUGGACAAUGGGCGCAAGCCUGAUCCAGCCAUGCCGCGUGAGUGAAGAAGGUCUUCGGAUUGUAAAGCUCUUUUGCCUAGGGACGAUAAUGACGGUACCUGGAGAAU
rnacentral:rRNA from 1 species